ACUAUUUUGGCAGAAAAAAUGUAAUGAUUUUAGAAGUCAUAAAUAUAUAUGAUUAAAUAUAUAUGUAGUA
rnacentral:tRNA from 2 species